GGAGGGUCACAGGUGUCCCCAGGUGUGUCCCACAUGUCCCCAGGUGUGUCCCAGGUAUCUCCAGGUGUGUCCCAGGUGUCCCCAGGUGUGUCCCAGAUGUCCCCAGGUGUGUCCCAGAUGUCCCCAGGUGUGUCCCAGGUGUCCCCAGGUGU